GAAAGUCUUCCCUGCUUCUCCCAACCUGGUCUGCUGUGGACCUCUUCUCACUGUGUGCUAAGCUCCAUCAUCCAGUCAUAAGGAUCUCCUCCUCUAUGGUGAUUGCCCAAGGUCAGGAGCUCCUUAUGACCUCAGCACUUAGCACCAUGCCUACGACCAUGUGAUGUUCCAUAAACGUUCAAUGAAGGGAGCCCGGAAGGGCAAAAGGAAGGGAACGUCAAGUGGGCUGUCCAAGUUGCAUGAAGAUCUGUGAGCAUUCCUCCGCUCAGCCCCCCACCCCCAUUUGACAUCUGGCUGGGGACGCUCACAGACCCACAAGAUUUUAUUUAUUUAUUUGACAGAGACACAGCAAGAGAGGG